rnacentral:rRNA from 1 species
UACGGAGGUUGCAAGCGUUGUUCGGAAUGACUGGGCGUAAAGGGAGCGCAGCCGGCUCGAUUAGUCUGGAGUGAAAGCCCGGGGCUUAACCCCGGAGGGUCUUCGGAUACUGUCGAGCUCGAGUACGGAAGAGGAGAGUGGAAUUCCAGGUGUAGCGGUGAAAUGCGUAGAUAUCUGGAGGAACACCGGUGGCGAAAGCGGCUCUCUGGUCCGAUACUGACGGUCAGGCUCGAAAGCGUGGGGAG